rnacentral:rRNA from 1 species
ACAUACGACCACACCCACUGGAAAACUCGGGAUCCCGUCCGCUCUCCCAUAGAUAAGUCAGUGAGGGCCUGACUAGUAGUUGGGUCGGCUGACGACCAGCGAAUCCCAGGUGUUGUAUGUU